GAAAGCCCCAAAAUCUCUCUUUCAAGAGUAAAAUUCUUGGCCAAAGGAAAAGGAAAGAACACCCUUCCAAUUAUCUAAGAAGAUUAAGGUACUUUCAAUCCCGAGCACGAGUCGUAAAGUUGGAG